CUCGUAGGCGGCCAACUAAGUCAGACGUGAAAUCCCCAGGCUCAACCUGGGAACUGCGUCUGAUACUGGAUGGCUUGAAUUCGGGAGGGGGGAUGCAGAAUUCCAGGUGUAGCGGUGAAAUGCGUAGAUAUCUGGAGGAAUACCGGUGGCGAAGGCGGCCCCCUGGACAAAGACUGACGCUCAGGUGCGAAAGCGUGGGGAGCAAACA
rnacentral:rRNA from 1 species